GCCGUUCCUGGCUGGAGGUGGGACGCAGGGACCGUCUGGAUGCGCACCUGUUUGCAGAGAGUCCGGCUGGCUGAUGACAGAGAGUGGAACCGUGAUCCGCGCUGGGAGCUUCCCCUAUGGAGAAAAGUCAGCCAGGCUCACGGGACAGAAGAGAUAAGGAACGCCACCCAGCGUCACCCGGAGGGCCGUGAGCGCCCGGAGCAAGCGCCCGACCCUCUGCUCCCCGUGCCCUGCGGGGCUCAGGCGGCCCUCGCAGACUCACUCACACCUGUGCUUACUGCUCAAGGACACUACUGAGGAGUCAUCCUCCUCUUUCCUAAGCAGAGCCGCAAAUGUACCUGCUGGCAUCAGGAUGAAACGUGGGCCUGAAUCGCAAAGGAAGUGUGUGCUCACCUGAGCACAGUCGGACUGCGCCCCUGACAUGGCACACAGGACCUGCUCACAGUAACUCAGGGGGACACAGGCACUCGAGAGUUAAUACAGCAGGUGCAUACUCCUGCUCCAGCGGGCAGGCUCACCUGGGGUGCCCACAAAGGGCACAUUCUCCAGGCGCUUUCUGUUUCUCCCAGAGAUAAGGGAGGUUAGUCAGGGGACACUAAUAACAAACUCAACCAAGUGAAAAGUCCAGCCCCACAGCUAACAGGAAGGCCCAGGAGAAACACGAAAGGAGCUGGAAAAGCCUGGUGUCUUUGGGAUUUCAGCACGGCUGGGGUUAGGUCACUACAUCAGCUUGCUUUUAGGUUGCCUAGUUUUUAACCCUUGGUUGAUAAUAAAAUUUAUAUACAGUAAAA